rnacentral:rRNA from 1 species
UACGUAGGUGGCAAGCGUUGUCCGGAUUUACUGGGCGUAAAGAGCGCGUAGGCGGCGCAAUAAGUCACUUGUGAAAUCUCCGGGCUUAACUCGGAAAGGUCAGCCGAUACUGCGGGGCUAGAGUGCAGAAGGGGCAACUGGAAUUCUCGGUGUAGCGGUGAAAUGCGUAGAUAUCGAGAGGAACACCUGCGGCGAAGGCGGGUUGCUGGGCUGACACUGACGCUGAGGAGCGAAAGCGUGGGGAGCGAACAGG